CGUCCUACUUUACAGAUAGAAUAUAAUAUUCUGUAAUUAUACGUAUGUUAUAUAUUUCGAAAAUUUAUUAUUUGUCAUUAACAUUGAUUCAUUUUAUUUUUACAUAUUUUUUAUUUUUUUAAAUGGAAUAUGUAUAUAUAUGUUUUUUUUCAAAUUCAACAUUUUUUUCUCAAUAUUGACCCAUUUUCGUGACACUACAAGUAUGACGUAAACAGCGGCUUAAAUACUAAGCGACUUAAAACAAUAUAGCUCCGUCGAACAGCAUAAUUAUGACUGUGAUUAAUUAAACAUAAAGAAAAGGGGUUCCCAUGGUCGACAUUGCGUUGUAUCUCACGAUGGAAGGAACACACUUCUACCAAGCUGUUGCUCGGUAACGUCAUGCACGUCAGAACCUAUAAAUCCGCCGAAUAGAUUCGCUUCCGAGUUCCGGUUUCCACGGGCAAAACUAAAUCCAUUUUCCUCUCUUCUAUUUUUUUCCUCCUCCUGUUCUAUUAUUACAUAGCAACAAUUUCACGGAGAAAGCCGUGGUUACAGAUUAAUAACGUAAGAGGCAUUACUAUACUCAGGCGCAGAUAGAGAUGAAUUAGCAUUCGAAGACGUAACAUUUUACGUUCCUGAGAAAUUAACUGGAUUGUUACCGUAUAUUACGUAGAAAGCAUCACGUUCGUUGGGAAAAUAGGAUAUCUAGUUUUCGUAGACGAGAUAGAAACCAUCGAGAGUAUUUGCAUCCCCCUUUUACAUCCCUUUCCUCUUAACAAUCUUUAAAUCGAUACGGAGAUGUUUUCACCUUUCUUGCCUAUCUUCCGUAUUAAACUCAGAAUGAUGCAUUACGCAUUUCAAAAACAAUGAAUAAUCACUGUAUAUUUUUAACGCCCGUAACUCGAACAAUGUCAUGAUUUGCUUAAAAAAAGAAGAAAGGACGUAAAUUACGAGAUAAGAGCUGUUCGUUCUUCUCCUAUUUCCCUGUGGAUAUACCAGUUUCUUUUUUACUGAAUAUAAUAUUUCAUAAGUAUCCUAGAAAAUCAUCCUCAUUAUUUUAUGAUUACGUUCGUAAUGGAUAAUCGCGGUAGCGCGCGCGAUAGGAUCGCGACAGAGCCGGCGCAGAAAGUGUCUGCGUGUGUAUACCGGUAGCACGUGUGUUCGUAAUUUCACUUAUGUCAUAGUUGCACUACCAGCGCGGCCACCCUCCUUCGUCACGUUCGUAUCACGCGAGAAAACGCGGAGGACAAUCACUGUUUCUUAGGUGUCUGAAAGAGAGGCCGUGAGGAAUCGCAAUCGCAUGUGUGAAGCGGGCCUAGUGUCCUGUGAGGUCGUAGGUAGCCUAACGUGUAUACCGUGCACGCUACUCUGCUGGCGAAAGUGGGCUCGUCUUCCGGAUCAACGUCUGCUCAAUAAAUCGUAUAAGUCAUCCGUCGCGCUUCCGUCUCUGCCAGUGAUACGCAAUGCUCUCGGUAACUCAGCGCAUUUGCACUAGAACUGUCGAUCUUUAACGCGUAUCUAAAUUACUAUACGUAUCAGAUUCGUGUUUGAAGGGAAUAUGAAGAAAUUGUUGAAGUUCUUAUUAAAAUGUUAAAACUGUUGAAAGUUUUUUCGUCCGAACGACAGCCUCGGGAUAUAAAAGUUGGGAACGACGUUUUUGUACAUGAACUUUCUUCAUUGUCUUGAUGUCUAGAACUUUAUAAAUAUCGUCCACUUCUCUCCACGGCCUCCAUAAUUAUGUUUCCAUUCCAAUAAAAAUCAACGUCAAUUUUAUCGAAAGUACUUUCAUACGUUUAAUAAUAAAAAAGAGAAAGGAUCUGCAGCUCGUCAUUUCGACAGGUUUGGCAAUUCUAUUAUUAAACCAAUUCAGAGAAGCGCUUAAGCUCCAUUUCCCUUCUUUCAUCGUUGGACUUCAUCAAUUUACGCACGAUUCGAUUUAUAUUUCCUCAUUUAGUCGACGUAUUUUCGAUAUUUAGUAGUUUAUUAACGCAUAUUAUUAACGCUUUUUCGAAAGCGAUAGCUUGAAAAAAAAUCCCCUCGAUUGUGACGUUAGACAUCCGCGAAGAAGCAAUUUGAAAUCGAGAGAUCUUCCAGUUACUUCCACCUAUUUAUUAUUGACGAAAUAAGUAUCGUUUCUCCCGCUGAUAAUCAUAGCGUUUAGUAUUUCGACAUUCUCCGUUUCGAGCGACAAUUUCGUUGAAAAUUAUAGAGCGCCACGAUUCCUCUAGUGAAUAUUGCCGACUGACUGAAACGACAAUUGUUAGUUAAACGCCGCGUUGGAUUGCAAUGAAAACGCAUUACUAACUCAAGGAGGAUCGUGUCGAUUCGGUGCGGAAGAUUCGCAGCUCGUCUCAACGUGACUCAAUAUUGGUUGCCGUGGUCGGAUCGCCGCUUUCUAAGAUCUUUUGCCACGGGGACGGUAAUCAGAUUCGUUCUGAAGGUAUCUGACGAUCUUCCUCGCCGGCAAAGGCGUCGGUGAGUGGCCUGAAAUGACCUUUCUUCUGCAGUUGGGAUCUUAAAUGCGGACGGAUUUUCCGUGGCUUAGGGUCAACAGCGACACGAUAAACGCCGUUGCCAACGACGGUAGGAGACUUGCACUUCCGCUUCUCUCCGACACGACGAGCUUGUCUCCCCGUCACCGAGAGUACAACCGAAAGUCCCGUGCCUUCUCGUAUGUGUCGGACAUAUAUUCGUGAACAGGAUGUUUCAUAAGGCGCCGCUCUAUAACGAUCUCGAGCGUUCAGCAUUUCCUGAACCGAAAACACGCGCGUCCUCGCGUUCUCAUGAUGUUUGUGUAUCACACGACUAGGAUGAAUCGAACAUAAAAGGACGUAACGGUAGAAGCGAAAAAGUUGCAAAAUAUCACAUCGCCGGUCACAGGUACUGGAACACUUGGAUUUUCUUGGAUAAUAAUUAUUAAUUGAUAAAUUACAAGCUAUAGAUUAUAGAUUUCCUUUUUAUAAUUUUUUGUUAAACAGGCUGUUCAGAUAAUUUAUAAUUUGUAAAAUUUACUUGUAAAUAUCGAUUAAUACGGGCAAUUUGAUACUCGUAAAAUUUGCUAUCUAUGUUAGUUGAAUUGUACAACACGAUUCUGCUGAUGUUUAAUAUAAAUCGAACGUUUUUUCGCUGAUUUUAUUUUCCAAUCUUUUUGUUAUAAAUCCGUUGUUUCACUCGCAUUGUACGUACACAUAUGCUUUAUUUAUAAUAUACGAUGUAAUACUACAUAAAGUCAAUUCUAUCCGAAUUUUUCGUUACGUAACUGAUAGAUGCCUUAGUAUUUACGACAGUAUAACAAUUACUUUUACAGUUUCCCAAAUUUAUUACUGCUGCACCUUAAGAAGAUUAUUUUCUAUAUAUAAAUCUUCGAUUUCUGUUCUCUACGGAAUCUUCCAUGAAUCUGUCAUGGAAACUGAAUGAAGAUUGACGCAGAGUGAAAUAUUAAUUUGCAGAAAAUGAAGCCAAGAUUUAAGGCGGAAAAUUUCGCUGAUUAUCUCACCUCUGCUUCUGUACUUCAGAUCUUUCGCGAAUAUUCUCCUUCUAUUUAUAUUCGCGAAAUCUCACGUAAUCGGAGGAAACACGUAUUAUCGGGAUGAAACAAAAGAAGAAAAAGACACGAAGUCAAAUACCUCGGUACGAAGGGAUUAUAGCACCAAAACUCAGUCACGAAAGAAACAAGCAGUUACAAGAACUCUCCCAUAAUGAAUACAAUGCUUUACGUAAGGUGGCACGCACACAUGGGAAAAAUUUCAAAAAACACGUCGGUUUCUUUGUUAAUGUCUAAUAAUAAGACAUCAAAUUCCUUAAAAAAGAAAAAAAGAGAACAAAAAGAUGAAAUCUUCAUUCUUAAAAAUUUGGAAUGGUUUCAUCAGAGAAAAAAGUUUAUGAACUAAACGACUAAAUCAACACAAAGAAAUACACUAUUAGAGGAACAAAGUUAACGAUUACUUUUACCUUCUAAAUGGAAGGGAAAAUUUCUUCUUUUACACUGUAACAAAAUACUUCGAAAAAUGUUACGGCUGAUUCAUGUAAUUAACUUCGCUAUUAUUCGCCUCAACGAAGCUGAACGAAUGGCAAAAGAGAAAGAUCUCGUUGCCUGUUUCAAUUUUACAAGUUGUUUGAACAAUGAACGUGGAAGACAUUUUUCUGAUACUGAGAAAAUCAAACAAUGCAUACUUUUCCAACAUUACUAUAUACGUAAUUUAUUAAAGGUAAUAACGAGAUAACUAAAACAAGCAACAGUAAAUCUCCGAACGUGAUAUAUAUUUCUAUGACACCGACAAAAUCAAUAAUAAUACAUACUUGCUUACCGUCGCGUACAUACGUGCAAUUUAAUGUAAAAAUAAUAAAGAAACAACUAAAACAAAUAUCUCAUCCUAUAUACCGCGACAAAUUUUCUGCUGUUGGAUCAUACUUUAAUAUUGGUUUCUCCUUUGUAAAAGGCGAACUUGUACAAUUUCAAUAAACAUUUUAGCCGUUGAAAUUUUUAAAACGAACCAAAUUUUUCACGUUAAAUUGUCAAAUUUGACCUAUGAUCUUCGAGUCUCUAACGAUGAUAACUGAGUGAUAACUUUGACUUGACUAUAAGCCAUCAUAUAAAGAUAAAAGAAAGGCAAGAGAUCUCUUCUCCAAAAAUUCUCCAGUUUCAAUAGUAUAUCCGAGAGCUAUCACGAAUCGUUUUAACUUAAUCAUUAAGCUAACGAUCAAAAAGUCAAUUGAAACCUGUAAUCGUCUGUCCAAGUUUCUCGCAAGACAGCCAUUAAAUGAUUUCAACAUCUUGAUAAGAUAAUAGAGUAGAACUAUCCAGCCGACAUGCCGAAAGACUAUUAGUUAUAACGUAACAGUUUAGCGUAAGAUUAAUGAUUGUAAAGCAAACUUUGUGCCGGAGAUAGGAGACAAGUAAAGGAUACGAAAAAAAUGUAAGAAGAUCAAUGUCUUCUUUCAGGUUUUGCGUAAUUUAGGUUUUUAUAUUAUCGACUUUGUACCUUGCUCUACAUAAAAGUCGACGAAUAAAGAUUUUCGUUUAAUCAACCGGUCUUGCAUUCCAAAGCAGCCUUACGAUUUUUACUUUCCCGAUUCAACUUCAUUGGGAAAAGUAAUCUGUUUCUCGUAACACGCAGCCAGUGUUUCUGAUAAUAUCUGACAACUCGAUUCGUUCAUUCGAUUGUUACCUUAACGCGAUGCUCUCCCGUAUCGCCUUGUUAGAUUUCGACUGUGCAAAGGUGAACAAAAUAACCGGAAACGAACGUGUGACUUAAUGAAAAGAACCGCAGCUCCCUUCUGCGAUUGUUUAAUCACGAUUAUAAUUCCGAUAAUAAUACUUAUUACCGUACACGUAUUACCAAUGUUAUCUUGUCUCUUUAAUUGGCAAAAACCAUUCCCGCUCCGCUUAUCUUCACGUAUUUAAAGCAAGGGUUUAAUAUAUUUAACAUCAAAAAGGAGUGAUAAAAAUGGUAAAUUAUUGAAAAUUAAUAUCACGUUUAAAGAGGGAUUUUAUGAAAGUAUUCAUAUUUAUAUUCGCGCGAGUAUUUAAAAGUCACCGAUUCACGAUUAUUAUUAGAUUGCGGAUUUUUAUACAUUUAUGAGACAUUUACAUUUGAUAAGAUCCGCAGAAUGUAAUAUAACAUGCAAAGAUAUAUAAAACAUCGAAAAUGGAAUGUUUGUUGUAAUAUUUAGUGGGUAAAACAAAUUUAGCUUCUAUAUGUCUCAUUUAAUUUAAUUUAGUGUUAUUUUUAAUGUUAUUCGUGUUCCAUUUCUUUAUUUACCAUACUAUCUUCAUAGAAACUUGAAUCUCCAUUAACACCCGGAGUUUAAUUAUUAGAAAUGUUUAAUUAAACUUGAAAAUUACAUUCAGUAAUAUUAAAAAUAUAGAAUAUUAGAUAAAUAUUAAGAAUUGUUGAAAGUGAAGUUAUAUCAUUUUUAAAGACAAUUUCUAAAUAGAGUAUAUAUAUAUUCAUUUAUUUAUCAAAUUUUCUCAUUUUUCAUUAAAUGUUGUACAUAAUAACACGGUCAUUUUCGCACUUAUUCUUCGGUUACUAAAGACGA